rnacentral:rRNA from 1 species
UACGUAGGGGGCAAGCGUUGUCCGGAAUCACUGGGCGUAAAGCGCGCGCAGGCGGUAUCUUACGUCUGGGGUGAAAGCCCAAGGCUCAACCUUGGAAUCGCCUUGGAUACGGAGAUACUUGAGCGUCGGAGAGGUAAGGGGAAUUCCACGUGUAGCGGUGAAAUGCGUAGAGAUGUGGAGGAACACCAGUGGCGAAGGCGCCUUACUGGCCGAUUGCUGACGCUGAGGAACGAAAGCUAGGGGAGCAAACGGG